AACGAACGCUGGCGGCAUGCCUAACACAUGCAAGUCGAACGAGACCUUCGGGUCUAGUGGCGCACGGGUGCGUAACGCGUGGGAACCUGCCCUUAGGUUCGGAAUAACUCCCCGAAAGGGGUGCUAAUACCGGAUAAUGUCUUCGGACCAAAGAUUUAUCGCCUUUGGAUGGGCCCGCGUUGGAUUAGCUAGUUGGUAGGGUAAAAGCCUACCAAGGCGACGAUCCAUAGCUGGUCUGAGAGGAUGAUCAGCCACACUGGGACUGAGACACGGCCCAGACUAGUACGGGAGGAAGCAGUGGGGAAUAUUGGAAAAUGGGCGAAAGCGUGAUACAGCAAUGACGGGUGAGUGAUGAAGGCCUUAGGGUUGUAAAGCUCUUUUAACCGGGAUGAUAAUGACAGUAACGGGAGAAUAAGCACCGGCUAACUACGUG
rnacentral:rRNA from 1 species